GUCACAUCACAAGAUGGUGGUGCUGACUGAAAGAACCAGUCCUUUUGACUUCGACUUCCAGUCCAGUGCACUGCCAAACUCCAAAACACCAUCACAGAAAUGACCCCCUGGCCACCCCCAGGUCUGUGGCAGACAUUACUCAUCUAUGACAGAUGUCACUAAUCCAUGGCAGACAUCACUAAUCCAUGGCAGAGUAGCACUCUCUAUCUCUUGAACCUGAGUGGGGCCUCAGAAUCCUCCUGAGUGCAGAGCUGGUAUUUGGGAUGAAACUCACACAGAACAGUGAGCCUUUGACGGGCCUCUGGGUUCAACCCCCACCUCUGGUCCACAUUCACUGCACGACUUUGGACAAGUGCCUUCCUUCUUCUGGGCCUCCUGAGCCCCAGUGGUGGAACAAGAGGGACAGUUAAUGGCUCUUGAUUCUCUGUGGGGACUUCCAGGUUGAAACGACCCCCAUCACCGCCUGGUUUCUGUCCCAACUCCUCACCAAACCCUCCCUAACUCCAUCGACAGAUGUUGACCCGGGUCCAGCUGCUGUGGCACAGAGGUAAACGCAAGUGUCCUGAGAGGCUGGAUUCAAUAUGGCGACUUCAGGGUUCAGUUGUUGCUGUCCCUUGCCCUGUAUCAGCUGCAGUCCUGUCUCCCUACCCGUCCACGCCCUGGGUCCACCCAGUGAAUCGCCCUAGCAACCCACCCUGAUGUCACGGCAGCUCUGGCUACCAGCCCAGAGCGGAAGCAGCUGGCGGCUGGUUCACGUUUCAGAUCUCAGCUGGGAUGCCAGAAACUCAUCACUGCCCCAAAUAUUUCACGGUAUGGAACUAUCAGGACACCGUCACUUCACAUCUCUUAAUCUUUUUCUUCUGGGAGUAUAAUAAUAGUCUCUACCAUACCAGUGUUCUCAUCUGUAUAAUGGGGGUGAUAGUGCCUUACACUGUUUUGAAAAGAUUAAGUACUUUGUUACAUGUUAUUAUUUUUAUUAUUAUUAUACUUUUAACAGAUUUCCCAGUUAUUCCCCAUAUUAAAAGAGACAGUACAGAUAAGGCACUUACCACAGUGUCUUGACCUAACUAUACGCUCAAUAAAUGAUACUGUUUAUUCCGUUCCUGGGUCCCCGACAAAGGGACUACAAGUACCAGCGGGACCUGCGCCUUCAGUAGGGGCCCCUCCGCCUGGCGCCGGCGCGGGAUAUGCCGGGAGUUGUAGUCCUCGAAGGCAGACCCUGCUUGGUCCCAACUUGGGGGAGGAGGUUGGAGAG